GUGGGGAAUAUUGCACAAUGGGGGAAACCCUGAUGCAGCAACGCCGCGUGAGUGAUGACGGCCUUCGGGUUGUAAAGCUCUGUCUUCAGGGACGAUAAUGACGGUACCUGAGGAGGAAGCCACGGCUAACUACGUGCCAGCAGCCGCAGUAAUACGCAGGUGGCAAGCGUUGUCCGGAUUUACUGGGCGUAAAGGGAGCGUAGGCGGACUUUUAAGUGAGAUGUGAAAUACCCGGGCUUAACCUGGGUGCUGCAUUUCAAACUGGAAGUCUAGAGUGCAGGAGAGGAGAAUGGAAUUCCUAGUGUAGCGGUGAAAUGCGUAGAGAUUAGGAAGAACACCAGUGGCGAAGGCGACUCUCUGGACUGUAACUGACGCUGAGGCUCGAAAGCGUGGGGAGCAAACAGGAUUAGAAACCCGAGUAGUCC
rnacentral:rRNA from 1 species